rnacentral:lncRNA from 1 species
AGGGCCACGAACGCGAGCAGAGAAGAUCCAAUGGCUAGGAAGGGAAUUGGAGUACUUUUGAAGGUAGGAUUUUGAUGGAGGUUGGGUUUUCUACUCUAUAAAAGUGGCCUGAUGGUCCAUAGAAUAGAGUGUAGUUGGUUGGAGUUGGUAGUGAGCACCUGAGAGGCAGAGGAGCUGCAGAGAGAGUCGGAGCAGCGGCCA